rnacentral:rRNA from 1 species
GUACACUCCUGCGGGAGGCAGCAGUGGGGAAUUUUGGACAAUGGGCGAAAGCCUGAUCCAGCAAUGCCGCGUGAGUGAAGAAGGCCUUCGGGUUGUAAAGCUCUUUUGUCAGGGAAGAAACGGUGAGAGCUAAUAUCUCUUGCUAAUGACGGUACCUGAAGAAUAAGCACCGGCUAACUACGUGCCAGCAGCCGCGGUAAUACGUAGGGUGCAAGCGUUAAUCGGAAUUACUGGGCGUAAAGCGUGCGCAGGCGGUUUUGUAAGUCUGAUGUGAAAGCCCCGGGCUCAACCUGGGAAUUGCAUUGGAGACUGCAAGGCUAGAAUCUGGCAGAGGGGGGUAGAAUUCCACGUGUAGCAGUGAAAUGCGUAGAUAUGUGGAGGAACACCGAUGGCGAAGGCAGCCCCCUGGGUCAAGAUUGACGCUCAUGCACGAAAGCGUGGGGAGCAAACAGGAUUAGAAACCCGAGUAGUCCCAUG